GCCUCCAUGCCCUGAGGUAAUCGUCUGCUACUCAUGGAUGGACAAAUAUAGAAGUUGAGUCAAACCUCUCGAUCCCAUCUCCAUCAUAUCCUCUGAUCUGAGACCUGCUCGGGAUAGCCUCCUGACGACAUCGCAUAUCAUCCUCCCAAGUCUCUCAUCCCGUGUUCGAUCCAUCUUCACUUGGAGCUCUAUCUUGCACUGGG
rnacentral:lncRNA from 1 species